AACCUGCCCUUCACUCUGGGAUAACGUCGGGAAACCGGUGCUAAUACUGGAUACGACCUACUCGGGCAUCCGAAGUGGGUGGAAAGAUUUAUUGGUGGAGGAUGGACUCGCGGCCUAUCAGCUUGUUGGUGAGGUAAUGGCUUACCAAGGCGACGACGGGUAGCCGGCCUGAGAGGGCGAUCGGCCACACUGGGACUGAGACACGGCCCAGACUCCUACGGGAGGCAGCAGUGGGGAAUAUUGCACAAUGGGCGCAAGCCUGAUGCAGCGACGCCGCGUGAGG
rnacentral:rRNA from 1 species